UCUACACUAUCCUAAGCAGCACAGACUUAUCUUCCUUUUCAUGCAUAUUUCAAUUUAAAAAUAUGCAGUGAUUUAGCUUCAACUUACUGUUAACUUCUCAGCAGGUAUUUCAGAGUAGUUAAACCUUCUUAUCAAGGUUAUUCUGGUUACUAUCAUCGGGUGGCAGACCAUGAAGGAAGUAAAGACUUUCAUCCAGCAAGUGAAUAUCAAGCACUGUCAUCCCUCUCUGCCUACUAGUCAACUUUUUCAGCCUCCGUCAAGCAACCAUCAUUAUAUAAAAAUAGAACUUGUUUGCAGAUACAUUUGAGUGUUUUAUUACACAUUUCUGCACCACUUAAAAUAAUGUAAGAUGAAAAAAUUAAUAUACUAAUAUUAGCAAUAAUGCAAUUAAGAUCAAGAUGGAGAGAACAUGAAAUAGACCAAAGAAUGUGGC
rnacentral:lncRNA from 1 species